AUACGGAAGGUGCGAGCGUUAUCCGGAAUCACUGGGUUUAAAGGGUGCGUAGGCGGCAUGAUAAGUCAGAGGUGAAAGCCCUCAGCUUAACUGAGGAAUUGCCUUUGAUACUGUUGUGCUUGAAAGGGGAUGAGGUGAGCGGAAUGUGGCAUGUAACGGUGAAAUGUGUAGAUAUGCCAUAGAACACCGAUUGCGAAGGCAGCUCACUGGGCCUACAUUGACGCUGAGGCACGAAAGCGUGGGGAGCGAACAGGAUUAGAAACCCGAGUAGUCC
rnacentral:rRNA from 1 species